CCCACAAAUAGAGUCUCUCUAUAUAGUCGUUUUCCUCAUUACAGAGGGUCGUGACCCCUUUCCAUUAAUGCUAUAAUGGUAGGAGUUCUUGGGAUAAUAUUGCGGUGCCUUC